AGCGAACGCUGGCGGCAGGCCUAACACAUGCAAGUCGAGCGCCCCGCAAGGGGAGCGGCAGACGGGAGAGUAACACGUGGGAACGUACCCUUCAGUUCGGAACAACCCAGGGAAACUUGGGCUAAUACCGAAUACGUCCGUAAGGAGAAAGAUUUAUCGCUGAAGGAUCGGCCCGCGUCUGAUUAGCUAGUUGGUGGGGUAACGGCCCACCAAGGCGACGAUCAGUAGCUGGUCUGAGAGGAUGAUCAGCCUCACUGGGACUGAGACACGGCCCAGACUCCUACGGGAGGCAGCAGUGGGGAAUAUUGGACAAUGGGCGCAAGCCUGAUCCAGCCAUGCCGCGUGGAUGAUGAAGGCCCUAGGGUUGUAAAGUCCUUUCGGCGGGGAAGAUAAUGACGGUACCCGCAGAAGAAGCCCCGGCUAACUUCGUGCCAGCAGCCGCGGUAAUACGAAGGGGGCUAGCGUUGCUCGGAAUCACUGGGCGUAAAGCGCACGUAGGCGGACUCUUAAGUCGGUGGUGAAAUCCUGGAGCUCAACUCCAGAACUGCCUCCGAUACUGGGAGUCUU
rnacentral:rRNA from 2 species